UACGUAGGGGGCAAGCGUUGUCCGGAUUUAUUGGGCGUAAAGAGCGUGUAGGCGGCCAUACAGGUCAGCUGUGAAAACUCGAGGCUCAACCUCGAGACGUCGGUUGAAACCGUUUGGCUAGAGUCCGGAAGAGGAGAGUGGAAUUCCCGGUGUAGCGGUGAAAUGCGCAGAUAUCGGGAAGAACACCCGUGGCGAAGGCGGUUCUCUGGGACGGUACUGACGCUGAGACGCGAAAGCGUGGGGAGCGAACAGG
rnacentral:rRNA from 1 species